rnacentral:rRNA from 1 species
UGGGGAAUUUUGGACAAUGGGCGAAAGCCUGAUCCAGCAAUGCCGCGUGUGUGAAGAAGGCCUUCGGGUUGUAAAGCACUUUUGUCCGGAAAGAAAUCCUUGGCUCUAAUACAGUCGGGGGAUGACGGUACCGGAAGAAUAAGCACCGGCUAACUACGUGCCAGCAGCCGCGGUAAUACGUAGGGUGCAAGCGUUAAUCGGAAUUACUGGGCGUAAAGCGUGCGCAGGCGGUUUGCUAAGACCGAUGUGAAAUCCCCGGGCUCAACCUGGGAACUGCAUUGGUGACUGGCAGGCUAGAGUAUGGCAGAGGGGGGUAGAAUUCCACGUGUAGCAGUGAAAUGCGUAGAGAUGUGGAGGAAUACCGAUGGCGAAGGCAGCCCCCUGGGCCAAUACUGACGCUCAUGCACGAAAGCGUGGGGAGCAAACAGGAUUAGAUACCCUGGUAGUCCACGCCCUAAACGAUGUCAACUAGUUGUUGGGGAUUCAUUUCCUUAGUAACGUAGCUAACGCGUUAAAUCGACCGCCUGGGGAGUACGGCCGCAAGGUUAAAACUCAAAGGAAUUGACGGGGUCAUAGCUG